rnacentral:lncRNA from 1 species
GCACUCGCGGCCCCUAACCUGCCCCGGGAGCCCGGGAGUGCGGCUUGGGAAGGAGGGAAAGGAGUGUGUGAGCAGGGAUUGGCCCGAACCUAUCUCCACGCUCUCCCCCGGGACUGGAGGUGAAGGGGGGCGUGGAGAAAAUCUCAGGGAACAGGGGCUUCGACAGGGGGCUCCCGCCCGCCCGAGCCCCCUCCCCAAAAUGCGAGGCCUGCACAGUAUGCCUUCUCCGCAAAACCUCGGCAAGCGGGUUAGUGAAUUCAGGUCACUAAGAAGCUGAGCCCGCGGAAAGCUGCCCAAACACCCCCUUCUCUAGGGGACUCCCCACGCCCCCCGCCGGGACGCGUUCCCGAAGUCGCCGCCUGGACUGCAACCGCGUGGCCUGCGCCGCGUCCUCUUCUCCGCAGCCUCCGAGGCCCGUGCGACCAAGCUGAAACCGCUUAUUCUCCGGAGCCCCUAUGACCCCGGGUGGGGGCCAGGGCUCGCCUCGAUCGCAGCCCGUGCGCCCUCCGGACUCCAGUUCGCCGGGACUGGGCGACACCAGAAGCGGCUAGUGUGAGUGAAACAAACGGGAAAUUUGCUCUGGCCCGCCUGCCCAGCCACCCACGGCUGCCUGUUGGCCAAUCACCAUUUGACCAGUCCAGGAAGAGCAACUGUGGCAGGCCUGAUUUCCUGGGAGGCCCCAGACUCCCUUUGCCUACCUCUUCCUCUCUGACCCCAUCCUCGCUUUGAUGCCCGGGACCUGCUACCCAGAAACAACGUGAGGCUCAGAGAGAAGAAAUGACUAAAAUUACACAGCUGGUACAUGGCAGAGGUGGAACUAAAAAGUUAAGUGUGUCUACCCCAGAGCCGAGUAGACCUGCUCUUUUUUGAACACUUCCUGGACUUUCAUGCCUUUGUCCCAGCUGUGCCCUCUCCCUGGAUGCCCCUUCCAUCUGGGCAGCUCCUACUAGACCUGCCUUGGCAUACAUAACACAGGAGAACGGAUUGCCAAAGGGUAGGAGAGUGCCUGGUCUAUAGUGUGCGCCCAACACAGAUUUGGUGAAUGAAUGAACACUGGGUCCAGCAGACCUGGAUUCUUCCAUGUAACCCACUGUGUGGCCUUGGUGGAGCCAUGCGGGUGCAAUAAUCCUGGUUUCCACCCUUCAGGGCUGCUGCUGGGACUCAGUGAGAUCAUCAUGUAUCUAAUGCCCUUUGCUCAGUGCUGGGCACACAGUCAAUGCGCAUUGAAUCUUAGCUAUUGCUACCUUUACAAUCAAUCAAAAGUCACUUCUGAAGAAUAGACAGGGCUCCCCCAGGCCAAAUAAAUAAUUCCUCCCGGGACAAACCCCAGCUCUCACUCCCUCCUCUUUAGGCAGGGGGCUCCCUGAAGGACAGAGACCCGGUUUUAUUCCAUCUUGCCGUCCCCCAUGGUGCCGGGCAUACAGUGGUGCCCAGUAAACGUGUGUGUUGCACAAACAUGCGGUAACUAGGGCCCCAUCUUUUUCAAAAGAACACACUCCCCAGGUGCAGCCGCAAAGAGAGACUGUUCAGCUGUUCAGGUGAGGUUUUGGGGUGAAACUCGUCUGAAUAAUAGUUUUACUGAACACAGCCUCACCCCCAACAAGGAGGCAAUUUGAGGUGGGGGUGGGGAGACUUAAAUGUGGGCUCCCGGGUUUUAAAGGGGGUAGCGCGGGAGGAAGCCCCCCAAUAAUUGCGGGGCUUCCCCCACCCCCAGAGCUGGAUUAGAGGCUGCGCCACUUCCUUUGGGGCUCGCUCGCGCUUCCUGGGAGCCUUUGAUGUGGGUUCUUGGUAGAUCCUGCCCGCGGGGCCUGGAUGCGGGCGGAGCCUCCGGGCAGGGCGGGGCCUCAGCCUGGGUCCGCACUGGGGAGGCGGCCACCCGGUAGCUUGGGCGGGUUCCGCCCACCUCCCGCCUGUAUUUACAGCCCCCUUCCAACAUCCCCGACUCCCUGAGGGCGCCCCUCAUUCUGCUCGGCCUUGCCUUCCCCAUUCGGCCACAUCCUCCUCUCUCCCAACUCAGCUUCGACCCCCAAAGCCUUUCCCUAACCAUCGGAACCACAGGCUUUUCUCCGGCCUCUGAGUGCCAGUCUUCAACUAGGUGUCUUUUAAAAAAUCAAAAAGCAUCUCAUCCUACGGGAUGUGUGUG